GCAAUGCCGCGUGCAGGAUGAAGGCCUUCGGGUUGUAAACUGCUUUUGUACGGAACGAAACGGUCCUUUCUAAUACAAGGGGCUAAUGACGGUACCGUAAGAAUAAGCACCGGCUAACUACGUGCCAGCAGCCGCGGUAAUACGUAGGGUGCGAGCGUUAAUCGGAAUUACUGGGCGUAAAGCGUGCGCAGGCGGUUAUGUAAGACAGAUGUGAAAUCCCCGGGCUCAACCUGGGACCUGCAUUUGUGACUGCAUANCUAGAAUACGGUAGAGGCCCAUGGAAUUCCCCGUGUGNCACCGAAAUGCUCAUUUAUGCGGAGGAACACCUGUGNNGAAAANGACCCCUGNANCUGUCCUUGCGCUAAUUAACCCAACAUCUCACNACANAAACUGAUAAAUACCCUGGUACACCUGUGUUAAAGUUCUCUUUCCAGCACUAAGCCAUCUCUGGCAAAUUCCAUAGAUGUUAA
rnacentral:rRNA from 1 species